UUAAUUGUUGACUCGAAGGUUUGCUUUUCCAGCUGAAAAUUAAUAGGCUGUUGAAGCACCGGAAAGCUUAAUGACGAUUUCGACAAGAAUUUUAGCAGCAAGAAUCAUUUAGCGGAAACGGGAUGGGAAACUUGACAACGCCGGCUGAAGGCCUGGUUUUAACAGCUUUAUGAUAUUCGUGCUGGUGAGUUGCUGUGAGGCCUCAAGGAAACCAAAUCAAGGCAAAAAUCUGACACAAAAAAGCCAGAAAGAAGAUUUCUUCUCUAUUGCCUCCUGAAAGGUCUAAGAAUUUAAUAUUAAUUCCGGUGUUUCUGAUUACCCUGACUAAAAGGCUUUAUUAAUGU